AUCUUAUUGUGGUUUUUCUUUAGUAUUAGCUAGGUGCUCAAUCUCUUGUGUAACUUGUGUCGUCUUUGGUUUUUGUUGAUGUCAAAAUAUGAUCUUUAUAAGAGAAAUUCAAUGUGUCGUUUGUCCUUUUUGUAUCUCAUUUCUUCUUCGGCAUGACAAAGCUCAGGACUUUUUAUUUUUCAAUAAACCUGUUAUUUUUGAUUCAUGAGUUUUAUGUAAAUGGCCUAGUAAUUUGUUAUUAGAAAUGAAUUCUGCGUGCUACCAAGCAGUUGUAGCUUUUUAAUGGAAGAUAUAUAUAUAUAUUUGCAUAAAGUAUAUUAUCAUCAUAUAUGGUACUUGCACAGUAUUAAUAUUUGCAUUGAUCCACUCCUGUGCCUUGAAAUUCACAUAUGUCAAUAUUUGUUAAUGUUGUCUAAGAUGUUGAUUUGUUAUUCUCUCGUGUGUUGUUUCUAAUGAAGGUAUUUUUGCAAGUUGUAUAUUGGUUAGUGUUGUCUGAGUGUUGAAUUUUUACUCUCUUCUGUGAUAUUUACAGUGAAGGCAUUUCCCAAAGAUGA
rnacentral:misc_RNA from 1 species